GAUGAGUUCCUCUUAUAUUGAUUUUGUUUUAUUCUCUUAUAGUAAAGUUUGCACGCCCCGUGAAGGUAGGCUUGAGACCGAUCUACGUAUUUGUAUUGUGUUUCUUAUUUUAUUUCUUCUUUCUUCCUGCUGUAUCAUGUGGUAUCGGAUCCUGCGCAACAAUUGGUAUCAGAGCAAGAUGGUACCAGAGCAUAGAUUACAGCGGUGG
rnacentral:lncRNA from 1 species